GUUGUGUGUUAGUGCAUUAGGUCCCAGGCAGAGCCCCUGUCCCCAAAUGAUAGUGCUGGUGACCAUGUCCUAAACAGAAGGACUUUGGCCAGGAGUCUUUGCAGGUGUGAUUCAUCCACACUUCUGAGACUGGGAGAUUAUGCUGGAUUAUCUUGCUGGGUCACACACACCAUCACUGGUGUUCUUGAAGGACAGAGGGAGAAAAACUUGACACACAAGAGCGGGCCACGUGAGGACACCAGACAGAGACACGGAGCUACUGGCCUUGAAGUUUGGAGCGAUGUCGUCACAAGCCACGGAACACAAGCAGCCACCGGAGACUAGAGGGGGCAAGGAACACAUUUCCCUGCAGCCUCUGGGGAGAACACAGCCCUGCUGACAUUUGAUUUCAGCUGUGACAGUCAUUUCAGACUGUAGGCCUCAGAGUUGUUAUUAAAUGUUGUACAAACA